rnacentral:rRNA from 1 species
AACGAACGCUGGCGGUAUGCUUAACACAUGCAAGUCGAACGAACAAAAUCGGGGCUUGCUCCAAUUUUAGUGAGUGGCAAACGGGUGAGUAACACGUGGGAAUCUACCUAUCAGUACGGAAUAACAUUUGGAAACAGAUGCUAAUACCGUAUAUUCUCCAAGGAGGAAAGAUUUAUCGCUGAUAGAUGAGCCCGCGUAAGAUUAGGUAGUUGGUAGGGUAAUGGCCUACCAAGCCGACGAUCUUUAGCUGGUCUGAGAGGAUGAUCAGCCACACUGGGACUGAGACACGGCCCAGACUCCUACGGGAGGCAGCAGUGGGGAAUAUUGGACAAUGGGCGAAAGCCUGAUCCAGCAAUACCGCGUGAAUGAUGAAGGCCUUAGGGUUGUAAAGUUCUUUUAGUUGGAAAGAUAAUGACGGUACCAACAGAAAAAGCCCCGGCUAACUCCGUGCCAGCAGCCGCCGUAA